ACCUGUAUGCCAUACCAGUGUCUCCACACUCCUUGGUUAAGAGGACAACCAACCCAUAUGGCCUACAGCGACCUAUGCUCGAUAGAAGCUGUCGUCCUUAUUAACAGCCUAUCAUUUGGUCGUGAACAGUUUUAAGGACUAAUCGAUAAAUCCUCUCUUUAUCGAUCCUAAAUAGUCCUAAGGACUUCAUCAUAACAACGGAGUUCAUUAGAAGAUGAAAGCUUAUGAUAAAGAUGCCAAAUAUAUUUUAUUUAUUAACAAAUCAAUUACAAUACUUGGUUGCUCAACCGUCAACAACUUGACGAUUGGCUUUUUGGGACACAUUUCCCA
rnacentral:lncRNA from 1 species